rnacentral:rRNA from 1 species
GAAAACGACUCUCGGCAACGGAUAUCUCGGCUCUCGCAUCGAUGAAGAACGUAGCGAAAUGCGAUACUUGGUGUGAAUUGCAGAAUCCCGUGAACCAUCGAGUCUUUGAACGCAAGUUGCGCCCUAAGCCAUUUGGCCGAGGGCACGCCUGCCUGGGCGUCAAUC